rnacentral:other from 1 species
GCAUACUUAAUUGUUGGUAAUUCCUUACUAGUUUUAGUUAAUGAGUUUCGGACUUAAGUAUGAUGUUGUGUUUGCAUAUAGUUCGGGAAACCGAACAUUGAGUAACAAUUUGUUACUUACUCUUUUACAUUAAACCUCUUGGUUAGACGCCACUCAAAUUGAGUGGCGUUUUUUU